rnacentral:rRNA from 1 species
UUUCCUACGGGAGGCAGCAGUGGGGGAUAUUGCACAAUGGAGGGAACUCUGAUGCAGCGACGCCGCGUGAGGGAAGAAGGUUUUCGGAUUGUAAACCUCUGUCUUCGGUGACGAAACGAGACGGUAGCCGAGGAGGAAGCCACGGCUAACUACGUGCCAGCAGCCGCGGUAAUACGUAGGUGGCAAGCGUUGUCCGGAUUUACUGGGUGUAAAGGGCGUGUAGCCGGGUUGACAAGUCAGAUGUGAAAUCCUGCGGCUUAACCGCAGAACUGCAUUUGAAACUGUUGAUCUUGAGUACUGGAGAG